rnacentral:rRNA from 1 species
CACAACCACAACGCCAGGGUAUUACGAGCGAAGCUUAAAACCCAAAGGACUUGACGGUGUCCUAUCCAACUAGAGGAGCCUGUUUUAUAAUCGAUGAUCCCCGAUUAACCUAACCCUGUCUUGCCACUCAGUUUGUAUACCUCCGUCGCAAACUUACCAUAUGAAUGCUUACAGUAAGUUCAAUGGUCUUCCACCAAUACGUCAGGUCAAGGUGCAGCUUAUGAUAGGGUAAAUUAUGGGCUACAAUUUCUAAUAUAGAACAUACGGAAUGUUGCAUGAAACACAGCAUGAAGGCGGAUUUAGUAGUAAAAAGA